ensembl:snoRNA SNORA32 small nucleolar RNA, H/ACA box 32
UGGUCAUUACCAAGGCUUUGAGAAUGCAGUUUCUCAUUUGCUGUGGACAUGACCAUAAAAAAAUUUUCCCAUUAGGUUUUCUUUCUUUCUGCUACUUUGCUAGCAUUCAGCCUAUUGGGAACAUUU